UACGAAGGGGGCUAGCGUUGUUCGGAAUUACUGGGCGUAAAGCGCGCGCAGGCGGUUUUUCAAGUCAGUGGUGAAAGCCCGGAGCUCAACUCCGGAACUGCCAUUGAAACUGUGAAACUCGAAGAUGAGAGAGGUGAGUGGAAUUCCCAGUGUAGAGGUGAAAUUCGUAGAUAUUGGGAAGAACACCGGUGGCGAAGGCGGCUCACUGGCUCAUUUCUGACGCUCAGGCGCGACAGCGUGGGGAUCAAACAGG
rnacentral:rRNA from 1 species